rnacentral:rRNA from 1 species
GAUUAACGCUGGCGGCGUGCAUAACACAUGCAAGUCGAACGAUGAAACUCAUUAGAUUUCUUCGGAAUGAAAAUGAAUGGAUUAGUGGCGAACGGGUGAGUAACGCGUGAGUAACCUGCCUUACACAAGGGGAUAGCCUCUGGAAACGGAGAAUAAUACCCUAUGAAACCAGACAAUCGCAUGAUAAUCUGGUCAAAAUGUUUAGUGGUGUAAGAUGGACUUGCGUCUGAUUAGCUAGUUGGUGAGAUAAAAGCUCACCAAGGCAACGAUCAGUAGCCGGCUUGAGAGAGUGUACGGCCACAUUGGGACUGGGACACGGCCCAGACUCCUACGGGAGGCAGCAGUGGGGAAUUUUGCACAAUGGGGGAAACCCUGAUGCAGCGACGCCGCGUGAUUUAGAAGGCCUUCGGGUUGUAAAAAUCUUUUGUAUAGGAAGAAAAUGACAGUACUAUACGAAUAAGGUCCGGCUAAUUACGUG